CUCCUACGGGAGGCAGCAGUGGGGAAUCUUGCACAAUGGAGGAAACUCUGAUGCAGCGACGCCGCGUGAGCGAUGAAGCCCCUCGGGGUGUAAAGCUCUUUCGACGGGAACGGUAAUGACGGUACCCGGAGAAGAAGCUGCGGCUAACUACGUGCCAGCAGCCGCGGUAAUACGUAGGCAGCAAACGUUGUUCGGAAUUACUGGGCGUAAAGAGUGUGUAGGCGGUUUUGCAAGUUUGGUGUGAAAUCUCCCGGCUUAACUGGGAGGGUGCGCCGAAAACUGCAAGGCUCGAGUACUGGAGAGGAAAGCGGAAUUCCUGGUGUAGCGGUGAAAUGCGUAGAUAUCAGGAGGAACACCGGUGGUGUAGACGGCUUUCUGGACAGUCACUGACGCUGAGACACGAAAGCGUGGGGAGCAAACAGGAUUAGAUACCCUGGUAGUCCACGCCCUAAACGAUGCGUACUUGGUGUGGGCCAUUCAUUUGGUCCGUGCCGGAGCUAACGCGUUAAGU
rnacentral:rRNA from 1 species